rnacentral:rRNA from 1 species
AUUGAACGCUGGCGGCGUGCUUAACACAUGCAAGUCGUGCGAGAAAGGUCCUUCGGGGACUGAGUAGAGCGGCGCACGGGUGAGUAACGCGUGGGUGACCUACCCAGGAGACCGUGAUAACAGUGGGAAACUGCUGCUAAUACCGGGUACGCUUCAUAUUUCACGUAUGGGGGAAAGGCGGCCUCUGCUUGCAAGCUGCCACUCUUGGAUGGGCCCGCGUCUCAUUAGCUUGUUGGUAGGGUAACGGCCUACCAAGGCGACGAUGAGUAGCUGGUCUGAGAGGAUGAUCAGCCACACUGGGACUGGAACACGGCCCAGACUCCUACGGGAGGCAGCAGUGGGGAAUAUUGCGCAAUGGGCGAAAGCCUGACGCAGCGACGCCGCGUGAGGGAAGAAGGCCUUCGGGUCGUAAACCUCUGUCAGGAGGGAAGAAACCAUGGGAGUCGAACAGGCUCUCGUGCUGACGGUACCUCCGGAGGAAGCACCGGCUAACUCCGUGCCAGCAGCCGC